UACGUAGGGGGCUAGCGUUGUCCGGAAUCAUUGGGCGUAAAGCGCGCGUAGGCGGCCCGGUAAGUCCGUUGUAAAAGUCAAAGGCUCAACCUUUGAAAGCCGAUGGAUACUGCCGGGCUAGAAUCCGGAAGAGGCGAGUGGAAUUCCUGGUGUAGCGGUGGAAUGCGCAGAUAUCAGGAGGAACACCAAUAGCGAAGGCAGCUCGCUGGGACGGUAUUGACGCUAAGGCGCGAAAGCGUGGGGAGCAAACAGG
rnacentral:rRNA from 1 species